rnacentral:rRNA from 1 species
GUGGCGAACGGGUGAGUAACACGUGGGUAACCUGCCCAGAAGUAGGGGAUAACACCUGGAAACAGAUGCUAAUACCGUAUAACAGAGAAAACCGCAUGGUUUUCUUUUAAAAGAUGGCUCUGCUAUCACUUCUGGAUGGACCCGCGGCGUAUUAGCUAGUUGGUGAGGUAAAGGCUCACCAAGGCAGUGAUACGUAGCCGACCUGAGAGGGUAAUCGGCCACAUUGGGACUGAGACACGGCCCAGACUCCUACGGGAGGCAGCAGUAGGGAAUCUUCCACAAUGGACGCAAGUCUGAUGGAGCAACGCCGCGUGAGUGAAGAAGGGUUUCGGCUCGUAAAGCUCUGUUGUUAAAGAAGAACGUGGGUAAGAGUAACUGUUUACCCAGUGACGGUAUUUAACCAGAAAGCCACGGCUAACUACGUGCCAGCAGCCGCGGUAAUACGUAGGUGGCAAGCGUUAUCCGGAUUUAUUGGGCGUAAAGCGAGCGCAGGCGGUCUUUUAAGUCUAAUGUGAAAGCCUUCGGCUCAACCGAAGAAGUGCAUUGGAAACUGGGAGACUUGAGUGCAGAAGAGGACAGUGGAACUCCAUGUGUAGCGGUGAAAUGCGUAGAUAUAUGGAAGAACACCAGUGGCGAAGGCGGCUGUCUGGUCUGCAACUGACGCUGAGGCUCGAAAGCAUGGGUAGCGAACAGGAUUAGAUACCCUGGUAGUCCAUGCCGUAAACGAUGAUUACUAAGUGUUGGAGGGUUUCCGCCCUUCAGUGCUGCAGCUAACGCAUUAAGUAAUCCGCCUGGGAGUACGACCGCAAGGUUGAAACUCAAAAGAAUUGACGGGGGCCCGCACAAGCGGUGGAGCAUGUGGUUUAAUUCGAAGCUACGCGAAGAACCUUACCAGGUCUUGACAUCUUCUGACAGUCUAAGAGAUUAGAGGUUCCCUUCGGGGACAGAAUGACAGGUGGUGCAUGGUUGUCGUCAGCUCGUGUCGUGAGAUGUUGGGUUAAGUCCCGCAACGAGCGCAACCCUUAUUACUAGUUGCCAGCAUUAAGUUGGGCACUCUAGUGAGACUGCCGGUGACAAACCGGAGGAAGGUGGGGACGACGUCAAAUCAUCAUGCCCCUUAUGACCUGGGCUACACACGUGCUACAAUGGAUGGUACAACGAGUCGCGAGACCGCGAGGUUAAGCUAAUCU